rnacentral:rRNA from 1 species
AAUCAACGCUGGCGGCGUGCCUAAUACAUGCAAGUCGAACGCGAAAGUCCCGCAAGGGAUGAGUAGAGUGGCAAACGGGUGAGUAACGCGUGGGUGACCUGCCUUCGAGUGGGGGAUAACGUUUCGAAAGGAACGCUAAUACCGCAUGACAUCCUGCUUUUUAAGUAGGCGGAGAUCAAAGACUGGGGAUCGCAAGACCUAGCGCUUGAAGAGGGGCCCGCGUCCGAUUAGCUAGUUGGUGGGGUAACGGCUCACCAAGGCAUCGAUCGGUAGCCGGCC